AUGGGGGGUGGUGGUUUGUGAGGGCAGUCUAGGCCAGAUCCCAGUUUGGGCAUGGGGAGGUGGGAAUGUUGGUUCCAUUCACCCAAAUCAGGAACACGUGGGAGAGCUGGGGAAGGUCGGGGAGCAGAAUCAUCUAGAGCCUUGCUACUCAAAGUGUGGUUCGGGAACCAAAGCGUAUCAACACCUCUUGGUGUGAAGAUCUCAGCUUCACCUCAGACAAGCUAACUCAGAACCUGCAUUUUAACAAGAGAUCCACCCACCCGUGAUUUGACUGCACUUUAAAGGUUUUUACUUACAGUAUUUUAACUGCAAGGAUUUUUCUGCUACACUGACCAAGAGAAGAGGGCCUGGGACUGAAUCUGAGAAAUCCAACAUGGAAGAAGGGGAUAGAUGAGGACGAGAUGCCCAGAAAGGUAGGAGAAAACCGGGUGGGCUUGACUCACGGAAGCCCAGAGCAAUGACCUUUUAAGGACAUAAUAUUUGUCAGUUUCUCUUAUCACGCUGACAAGCAUGUAACGAGAGCCCUCCAUGAAGAUUAGCCAUUG